CCCCCAUAAACUAUGCUGAUCUGUCUGUAUGUAUAAUGUGUUUGUUUGUUAGUUCUUAGAAUGUCCUGUAGAGGGCACUAGACCCACAUUUCUCAUGUGUCGGUACGAGAAGAAGAGUAAAGAAGAGGGAAGAAGAAAAAAAGAAAUGGCAGACUAUGCAAACUAAGCACAUUUCAGCAGAAGUAGAGAAGUUACUACGCAUAAGUGCUGCUGUGAUAUGAAAGAAAUCUGUUUAUUUUGAACUGGAUAAUGUACAUUCUGUUCUGAGAUUUCUCCGGUUGUUUUUUUUUGGACGACCGAUACCUGAACGAGCCAGUGGUUCCAGAAGCAGGAGGGUUCCGCCGCCAUCUUUGUGACUCGGACUGAAGCCUGGAAAGACGGAGGGACUGGUGCUGCUGGAGCUGGAUGUUUUGCGUGGACAACAGAUAAGCUUAUUGAACAAAAGGGGGGCCCCCAAAUCUUUUUUUUAUUCCACAAACUAUUUGUUCAUGAACAUUUUCAUAACGGACAACGUAUGUGCACAUUGACUGAACUGACUGACCGAACUGUUAUAUUGAAGGACUAACUGGAAUAUGUAAUUUCUUUUGUUGAAAUAAGCUUUAAAGCUACUGUUUAAAAAAA